UAAGGAAUAUUGGACAAUGGAGGCAACUCUGAUCCAGCCAUGCCGCGUGAAGGAAUAAGGCCCUAUGGGUUGUAAACUUCUUUUAGACGGGACAAAACCCCUUUACGUGUAAAGGGUUGAUGGUACUGUCAGAAUAAGCAUCGGCUAACUUCGUGCCAGCAGCCGCGGUAAUACGAAGGAUGCAAGCGUUAUCCGGAAUUAUUGGGUUUAAAGGGUGCGUAGGCUGACUAAUAAGUCAGUGGUGAAAGCCUGCAGCUUAACUGCAGAAUUGCCAUUGNUACUGUUAGUCUUGAGUACAGUUGAGGUAGACGGAAUGUGUCAUGUAGCGGUGAAAUGCUUAGAUAUGACACAGAACACCGAUUGCGAAGGCAGCUUGCUAAGCUGUAACUGACGCUGAGGCACGAAAGCGUGGGGAGCAAACA
rnacentral:rRNA from 1 species